GACCUGGCUGGGUGGUCUUGCCGCAAGGUAAGUACUGCACUGGUCGGGUCUUUCCUUCUGGGGAACCAGCGUGCUCUUAACUGGGUGCGCUGGGGAUCCAGGACUUUUACUUUGAAAAAAUUAGAGUGUUCAAAGCAGGCUUACGUCUGAAUACAUUAGCAUGGAAUAAUAGAAUAGGAC
rnacentral:rRNA from 1 species